rnacentral:rRNA from 1 species
UACGUAGGGGGCAAGCGUUGUCCGGAAUCAUUGGGCGUAAAGAGCGUGUAGGCGGCCCGAUAAGUCCGCUGUGAAAGUCCAGGGCUCAACCCCGGACUUGCAGUGGGUACGGGCAGACUAGAGUGUGGUAGGGGAGACUGGAAUUCCUGGUGGUAGCGGUGAAAUGCGCAGAUAUCAGGAGGAACACCGAUGGCGAAGGCAGGUCUCUGGGCCACUACUGACGCUGAGAAGCGAAAGCAUGGGGGAGCGAAC